CAAAUUUGGAUAUUGAAGGACGGUAUGGUUGUACAGCAACUUUAAAUAAUGAACAGCAAUUUGUAUAUGAUACAAUUAUGGAUAGAGUGAAAUCAGAAUCAGGAGGCACUUUCUUCAUUGAUGAUCUAGGUAAGAAUAGGCAAAACUUUUUCAUGUAAAGCCCUGUUAGUUCGUGUAAGAUCUCAAAAAUUUAAUUGCCUUAGCCACUGCAUCUUCUAGAGUAUCCGUAUCUCUAUUACUUGGAAGUUGAACAACUUUUUCGAGAUUUGAAAUUAUUCUGAAAACAACUGGUGAAAUUGUACGUUCUAUUAGCAUGCAAUCGACGUUGGGAACUUUGAUGAAAUGCUUAGGUUAAUAAUUUAGGAUGAAGCACCUAUGGUAAAUCAUUGUGCUAUUGAAGUUGUAGAUAAAAUGUCUAGAGAUAUUAAUGAUUGCAGUUUCCCUUUUGGUGGGAAAGUUAUAGCUUUCAAAUGACAUUUUCAUCAAAUUCUACCGGUGUUACCAAGAGGAAAAAAAAGACAUAAUAAAAGCAAGCUUAGUUUUUCUCUAAUCUGUGACCUUUGUAUUUGCAUUUACCAUUACUUCAAAAUAUGAGGGUAAAAUUAGAUCCUGCAUUUUGUGAUUACUUGCUUAGAAUUGGAGAUAGAAAAGAAAAGGAACAUAAUUCUAAAUGCAUUACGCUUCCAAGAAGUAUUAUCUAUCCAUCUGAAGAUGAAAUUACGUCUUUAAAAAAUUUAAUACAUCAUGUCUUUCCAAAUCUAGAAGCAUAUGCUGAUAAUGCACAUACGAUGGUUAAUUUAGUUAUUCUUAUGCCCAGAAAUGACUGCAUUGAUUAUAUUAACAAAAUUUUACUACAAAUUCCAGGUCAAAUUUUUAAAUACUAUAGUUUUAAUGAAGCAAUCGACCAAUAAGAAUGGAGCCUACAAAACUUUUCCAUCAUUGAUUAAACCUUUCUAUCUGGGAAAGUCGCACUUGUAAACAGAGUGAUCCAAAACAAAGAGAAAGAUAUAUGAAUAAAUAGCCUUAUUUGCAAGCUUCACAAUUAUCUUGACUAAGGUAAACUGUUAUUGCAUCUGUUCAACUAUUAUGUGUUAAAAAUGUCAUGAUUCUAUUAAAAUGGGCUAUUACAACUUUGUCAAUUGAUGUUUUUAUAUUGAGGAUAGUGCCAUGCAUCUUUUUCUUUUUGAACAUUUUCAUACUUUUUCUUUAAAAGUCUCUGAAAGAUCUCUAUCCGGUACCGCCACUAGCCCAAGUGCAUCAGCAACUUCAUAGUUUUUAUGAGCUGAGAUGCUUCCAUCAUGAUAUGUGAUCCGUCCAUGUGACAGUGG
rnacentral:lncRNA from 1 species